rnacentral:rRNA from 1 species
CGAGCGGUAGCACAGAGAGCUUGCUCUCGGGUGACGAGCGGCGGACGGGUGAGUAAUGUCUGGGAAACUGCCUGAUGGAGGGGGAUAACUACUGGAAACGGUAGCUAAUACCGCAUAAUGUCGCAAGACCAAAGUGGGGGACCUUCAGGCCUCAUGCCAUCAGGUGUGCCCAGAUGGAAUUAGCUAGUAGGUGGGGUAACGGCUCACCUAGGCGACGAUCCCUAGCUGGUCUGAGAGGAUGACCAGCCACACUGGAACUGAGACACGGUCCAGACUCCUACGGGAGGCAGCAGUGGGGAAUAUUGCACAAUGGGCGCAAGCCUGAUGCAGCCAUGCCGCGUGUGUAAAGAAGGCCUUCGGGUUGUAAAGCACUUUCAGCGGGGAGGAAGGCGUUGAGGUUAAUAACCUUGUCGAUUGACGUUACCCGCAGAAGAAGCACCGGCUAACUCCGUGCCAGCAGCCGCGGUAAUACGGAGAGU